GAAAACAUGAAUUCAGAAGAUGGCUCUGCACUCCCAAGGCAUCCUAGAGCCAGGAGAUCAACCCAGCAUGACAGACACAUGGUUCACCCUCCCGGUGCCCCAGGAGCUCCAAAAUCCCCAUCUGGAUCCGUGACAUAUCCAGGACCUCAGCGCCCAAAG